rnacentral:lncRNA from 1 species
AGAAGUUAGUAAGAGGUUAGUAAAUGUGAGGGAGUGGGUCGCCUGUGGGUGGGAUGUGCAGUGACUCUGCUGUGUUGUUGUUCCAGGAGAGAAAAGCCACAGUUGUCUGGACGUGCACUUUAGUCCUCUCCCUGUUCCUCGAGUCCUGUCACGCACAGAAGCUGAACAUCCACUGGGGUCCUCAGUCCAUGAUGUACUUGAAGGGCAAACAUGGCAGGAGGUUGGUCUCGGAGGAGGACGACAGUGUUUUGAAGCAUAGUCUGCAGGGUUGGUACGCAGUGCUCAGAGGCGUCCAGAGGCUGCAGUCAGAGGACUUCAGUAAACCCAGUCACAUCGUGAGCUCAGAGAAAGUCCUCAUCCACUACCUCCAGCGGAGAUGAGACACACUGAGUCCGACCUUCUACACAUGGGAACAACAAUAUCACAGUUUAUAUCACAGCAGUGUGACCGGCAGAGACACAACCAGAGCAUCAGCCAGUUAUCAUGAGAGCUCUGGUUAUGUUGUUACAGUAUAUGAACAUUUCAGUGACUCGUUUAUGUUUUUUUUCAUGCAUGAAUAACAUAUGUGUGUACAGAUUUCUGCUUGCUGUUUAUAAAGCAACAGAAGAAGACACAAUGCUGUGAAUAAACAACAGAAGAUGGUGUCUCCAUCUUUUAUGGCUGCAGUGUGUCCUCCUGACCACCAGAGGGCAGCAGGCGACAGUAGAAAACCUGAUUGUUGGAUUUCGUGGAGGGCAGAAGGUCACGGUGUUUUUACUCCAGAGAUGUUAAGUGAAAUAAUUAUUUAAUUUAUUAUCAACUGUAUGUGACUGACGACUCAGCAGAUUUAUGAUUAUAUGUAGUAUAUAUUAUUAAGAUAUGAUUUGAUCAGUGUACUAAAUCAUUAGAUAUUGUAAUAAACCAGAUAUGAUUCAUGUGGUCAGUGUGAUGAAUAACACACCAGACUAAUAGUAAUUUAUAGAAUUCAUUUAAUAAAUAUUAUGAAUAUAUUUAAUAAAAUGUGUAUACAUGUAUGCAAAAGAAACG